UACAGAGGGGGCAAGCGUUGUUCGGAAUUACUGGGCGUAAAGGGCGCGUAGGCGGCCUGUUAAGUCGAACGUGAAAUCCCCGGGCUCAACCCGGGAACUGCGUCUGAUACUGGCAGGCUUGAAUUCGGGAGAGGGAUGUGGAAUUCCAGGUGUAGCGGUGAAAUGCGUAGAUAUCAAGUGGAACACCAGUGGCGAAGGCGAGUCUCUGGACAUUUCCUGACGCUGAGGCACGAAAGCCAGGGGAGCAAACGGG
rnacentral:rRNA from 1 species